ensembl:lncRNA
CCUGAUAGCAAACAAUCUUUCUUAAAGUUGUCACAUGACUAUUAUGGAAAUCGCAACAGGAAGAGAAAGUACGGAAAAGCUCAAGAAUUUAAAAAAAAGGAGGAACAACCUGAUGUCAUCACAAGCAACUACAGAGGCAUAAAAAGAAAGGUGAAGCAAGGAGAAAGUAUUCUACUGGUUCAUCCACAUGAAGCGACGAUCUUUUCAUCAAUCACUGAGCAGUCAGGCUGUGGGUAUGGCCAACGCACAGUGUGCAGUUCUGCUCCUGACUUUAGCUAUAGCAGUGCAGGAGUGUAAUGGGAUACCAGAAAGAACCAGGUGCACUUCACAACCACCAUGUUUUGACCUACUAAUUGUCGAGAGAAUGGCCCAGCGUGUCAGCAAGGAUGUGCCAGGUGCAGACAGUGACAACAUUUUAUUAAAGAGCAAAACGUAUGAUAAAAUUCGCCAAAAGAAGUACCUCCACAGUUGUGUCCUAGAAAAAAUCUUUGAAUUCUAUGAGAAUGUCCUAUCCAGUGACCAGUAUAUUCAAAACGAUGGUCGUGAACUGAUCUACACCUUGGACAGAGUGAGAAAUUGCACUUAUAAAGUGAAGAGAUGCGAGAUGUUGUAUCAAAAGGCUAACCACCAAGCUGACUUAGAGAUUGCCGAAUCGGAUAUGAGUGCACAGGAGGUGGCCAUCAUUCAGCUACAAAAACUUAACCACGCUAGUGAAAGAUUAAAUGACACAACCAUCCUAGAGACAGCCAUGGAUGAACUGAAGUCUCUUCAUCACUACAUCCCUGGGAGUGCCUUCCUAAAAAGACCCAUAGGGGGCGCUACACACCGGUCUCCAGGACAGCAGUUUUCAGGUGUUUCAGGUCAAUCAGACCAAAGCAACAUGAGAUGAAUGUUGAGGAAAUUUUACUCGGGCAGCAUUUGGGAAUUUUAAUUUUAAUUCAUUAUCAUUCUACAAGUUACUACCUUUGUGGACAAUAAAACUACUAGGCCUCACACAUUCGAGCUCAAAUAAAAAUGAACCGAAGGCUUUUCUCAAAACUUUUCUGAAACUGUA